GGUCCCCUUGACUCCAAUGUCCAUGAUUCCGUGAUUUGUUCUAUGACCUUACACCCAGCUUGCUUGAGAGCCUCAUUCAUCACUUGUGCUACAGGAGGAGACUAGGUGAUGAACUCCAUCAUCCACGUGACCAGUCUGCGAGAGGGGCCGUUCUCCGAGAGUCUUCCUGCAGGAGAGGUGUCCUGAGGAUGACCCAGAACCCACCUAAGGGCUGGGUUAGAAUCAGGGCGAAUAGAAUUGACUGGAACAGGAGGCCGAUCUAAGAGGCCUGAAUAGGACAAAAACGCUGAUCGUGGGCCAGCUCUGCUCUGGGCAUGGCCUUAGAAUUAAUUCCUCCCAAUACAGUGCUCGAAGGAGUUUGGACUUACCUGUCCGAGCUGAUCUGAUCUUAGCAAGAAUUUCCCAGGUCAAUUUAUCCAAACACCAGAUACCUCAAGCAGCCCCCUUUCUGGGUGUUGGAUCAUCUAGCAGGUAUCUUCACCGGGCCAUUGCGUUGUGACCGAAAACUGGUUAGGAAUAGUGUUUUCCGAAGAUUGGACGUUGUAAGGCAGCCAUAUUACUAACCUUAUUGG